UAGGAGCCAGCCGCCGAAGGUGGGACAGAUGAUUGGGGUGAAGUCGUAACAAGGUAGCCGUAUCGGAAGGUGCGGCUGGAUCACCUCCUUUCUAAGGA
rnacentral:rRNA from 1 species